UUUAUAGAUUUUUAAAGCAAUACAAGAUUGAAUUUAGCAUAAGGCUAAAUUUCUGCUCUCGAGACAAAAGAGGAAGACAGCAAAAAUGACGAUUCAAAAUAAAGAUUUAAGAGACAAAAAAUUGUGUAUAUCUUGGUGUAGAUGAUUUAUCCUCAUUUUUUUAUAAUAAAACAAAAACUAUUUUUAAACUUUGGGAUUUACCUGUAACUCCAAAAUCUUUACAGAAGUUUAAUGUUUGCUCUGAGAAGUUGAAUGAACAAAUUUAUUAAAUGUGUUCAUUCUUAGUCGUCAUUGAAGUACAACUUGGUAAACUACAAAACACAUCAAAUUCAGUUAUAAAAAUUUGAGUAACAAAGGUAUACUAAUUAUUGUAUUGCCUGAAAGAGUGUCAUUGCUAUUAAAAGCAGUGAAGAAUUAAAGUACUCUGGAAGAAAAGAAAAUACCUAAGUAAAUGGUCAAUUAUUUGGCACAAAUCGGAGUUAAAGACAAAGGAGAUUGUAUAUUUUAUUUGCUAAGAAUAGUUUUUUUAAAAUGGCCUAGUUGUAAAAUUAAACUAUGCAGGAAGAGGACAAAAAAUUGGAAUAGAAAAAAUGUUGAUUGCAUAUGCUGCUAUUGAAACUGUAAAGUCAAAUAGGCAUGACUUAUGCAGACAUGUGAUAGAGAUAGAGGAAGAAAAAAUAAUAAUCGUGGGCACCAAAUAUCAUAAGCUAUACACGAUUCAAUAACAAGUAGCUCAGCCAAUAUCGAAACUACUCUAUAAAUUUUAUUGUGAAUUUUUUUAUUUAAAACUUAA